rnacentral:rRNA from 1 species
UACGUAGGAGGCAAGCGUUGUCCGGAAUUACUGGGUGUAAAGCGCGUGUAGGCGGCAGGCCAAGUCUGUGGUGAAAUCGCUCGGCUCAACUGGGCGGGGUCCAUGGAAACUGGUCAGCUGGAGGACGGUAGAGGUGAGUGGAAUUCCCGGUGUAGUGGUGAAAUGCGUAGAGAUCGGGAGGAACCCCCGUGGCGAAGGCGGCUCACUGGGCCGGUCCGGCCGCUGAGACGCGAAGGCGUGGGAGCGAACGGG